UACGUAGGGGGCAAGCGUUAUCCGGAUUUACUGGGUGUAAAGGGAGCGUAGACGGCCAAGCAAGUCCGAAGUGAAAGCUCGGGGCUCAAUCCCGGAACUGCUUUGGAAACUGCCUGACUGGAGUGCAGGAGAGGUAAGCGGAAUUCCUAGUGUAGCGGUGAAAUGCGUAGAUAUUAGGAGGAACACCAGAGGCGAAGGCGGCUUACUGGACUGUAACUGACGUUGAGGCUCGAAGGCGUGGGGAGCAAAC
rnacentral:rRNA from 1 species